rnacentral:rRNA from 1 species
GGGAACCACCUGAUCCCAUGCCGAACUCAGCAGUGAAACCGCUCAGCGCCGAUGGUAGUGUGGGAGUUCCCAUGCGAGAGUAGGUCAUCGUCAGGC